UGGGGAAUAUUGGACAAUGGGCGCAAGCCUGAUCCAGCCAUGCCGCGUGAGUGAUGAAGGCCCUAGGGUUGUAAAGCUCUUUCACCGGUGAAGAUAAUGACGGUAACCGGAGAAGAAGCCCCGGCUAACUUCGUGCCAGCAGCCGCGGUAAUACGAAGGGGGCUAGCGUUGUUCGGAUUUACUGGGCGUAAAGCGCACGUAGGCGGACUUUUAAGUCAGGGGUGAAAUCCCGGGGCUCAACCCCGGAACUGCCUUUGAUACUGGAAGUCUUGAGUAUGGUAGAGGUCAGUGGAAUUCCGAGUGUAGAGGUGAAAUUCGUAGAUAUUCGGAGGAACACCAGUGGCGAAGGCGGCUCACUGGACAAUUACAGACGCUGAGGUGCGAAAGCGUGGGGAGCAAACAGG
rnacentral:rRNA from 1 species